UUUCUUCCUCCACAAUUCUCUUUAAGAUAAAUAAUAAUUGGAUAGGUUAAAUAUUAACAAUUUAAAAUUAGCAAUUUAAAAUUAACAAUUUAAAAUAAAAACUAUUUAAGAUAAAAAGAAAUGUUGAAUAAUUUUUCGAUUCGGUUUAUAAUAAGAUUAGUAACUCAGGUUUUAUAAAAUCUUCUUUCGAAUUAUUUUUCAAUUCGAGAUAAGUUAGGAUUGUCCUAACAACGAGUUUUUUAUAUUGUCAUGAUCGUAGAAAAAAUUGUAAUUAUUCUAUAUCAAAAUUAUUAAGUUGAAAGAAUAUUUUUCUAAACAUUUUAAAAUUGUCAAGAGGGAUGUAUGACUUCUCGUUACGAAGAGAACUCAUAGAACCUCCAUAAAAUUUGUAAUGGGACGGAAACUCGAAUUCGGUUUUACAAGAGUCUGGGCCUUAACAGCAAACAGACCCCACGGUAAAAUAAGUAAUAAACAGAAAGGGCUUAAGUUCCCUUAAUGCAUUUGUCCCAUUUGACACGGGAAGUUUAAAUUUUAAAAUGAGGGAAAUAAACUGGGCAUGCACUCAAGAUGCCUUCAGCAUGACAGACUUAACUUUAUUACUUUUUACGACGGAUUUUCCGAAGAAAAAUCCGUCUGGAAAAUUUUCUCUAGUAUUUAUUAUUUGGGCUGGCCUUUGGGUCUUCCCAAUAAAUGAACCCUAUUUAAUAGAAUUUCUACCCUCAAUUACUUAGAAGGAAUUUAAAGAAUUUAUUUCGACGGAUGUAACAGUUGUAAAAAAGUAUGCAGUAUACCUACAUAUACCGAGAUGGGUCAUUUCAACCCCGCACGGAACAAGGUUUUCGGUGCUGUUCUAUUGUAACGUGGAAAUAAAACUAAUAACUAAAAGAACUUCCCUAGUUGGCACUAUAAGACAAAACAAGAGAGAACUACCUAAACUUGCAACAUCAAAAAAGGAUCACAUGUCUCGCUUCUCGACAGUACUUCAUAAAACAGAUGUACUCUGACCAUCUAUAAGAUAACCAAAUAAAAAAGUAUUACUGCAUAGUUCAAAACAUAAGUCAGUGAAAAUUGAAAAAGAUGAAAAACGUUUACCUGAAACGAUUACAUUUUAUAACAAUAUCAAAUUUGGCGUAGAUGUACGGAUCAAAUGGCUCGGAAAUAUACUGUGAAAGCUGGAUCCCGAAGAUGGCCAUUACAAAUGUUUUACAAUAUUUUAGAUCUUGCCGGAAUAAAUGCAUGGAUAUUAUAUAAGGAAAGAACAGGAGAAAAUAUUUCAAGAAAAGAAAUUCCCGUUAUCCGAAAAACUUGCAAUUGACUACAAAGAGCUAACCGGUAGAUCUACAGAUCAAGUAGAAGGAAUAUCAUCAUCUAUAUCGUCACAAAAUCAGACACAUAUUUCGAUGAAACGUAAACGGUGUUAAAUAGCACAUUGUACUAAUAAUAAAACGAAUAAAAUUUAUGGUACAUGCCAUAAACGAGCCUGUGGUAAAUGAUCUUCUAAAAUAUCUGUAACUUGCCAAAAAUUUUCUUCAACUUUUAUCCAUAAUUAUUUAAAAAAUUACUGCUAUUAUAUUACUAUUAUUAAAAGAUUAUAUUUAAGGUUUGUUCAGAAAAUUACCAAAUAUAUAAAAACGUAAAAAUUGCUGUCUUUUUUUAUAUAUCUUUUAGUAACUUAAGAAACAGGUCAUUUUGACCCAUCCGGUAGAAGUAGGUAUACGUCAAUCGUCGGUAGUUCUAGUGUUAAAAUCAAAUUUGUAUCAGAGUGCGGAAAACGGAGGUGUCAAAGCCGGCAGAGCAACUCGCCCCACUUAUGGAGAUGCGGCAGUCGGUUGGGUUCAGGUACAUCGUGAUUCAGGGUUAUGCACUAUUAAAGCACGAGUAUGUCCGGAACACAAAAUUCGCGAUACAGAAUAAUACAACGAGAAAUUGAGGAAGAUAAACAAAAUCAUCUUGUUGAAUUUUUCAAACCUAGGGCCAGUUGGGAAAAAAUCUCACUCCAUCAUUUAGCCUCGAGUUAUUCUGGAAAUCGUCUUGACAUCGAUGAAUUUUUUAACUAUUGUCAGAACAGUUAUACAUAUGAAGACUGUGCGGCAGUUGCUAAUCGCACGAAAGAUCAGAGUGAAUCCCCGAUUUGGUAUGAGAUGAGAUAUGGCCCGAAUCACAGCCUCAAUUCUGUACGAGACCUGUCGUUGUCGUACAACAGAAGGAGCGCUCUUCAGAAAAAUCAUAGGAGGAAAAAUGAUCGAGACUGAUGCAAUGGCGAGGGGGAGAGAAUUGGAAGCAGAUGUCAUCAAGAUUGUAGAAAAGUUAAUCGGAGAGAAAGGAUCAAAAUCUGGCUUAUUAUUAUCGCCUAUGUACCCAUGGUUUGGAGCAUCACCCGAUGGUGUAACAAAAACUGCUGUCAUUGAAGUCAAGUGCCCGAUGAAAGUCGAUACUGUCUACAAUUAUUAUUCCAACAACACCGUAAAUCCUAAAUUUCGAGCACAAAUGCAGUUGAAAAUGUUUUUUGCAGGGAAACAGAAAGCGAAAUUUUGCAUCGCUGAUCCACGUUUUCCCAUAAUAAAACGUAUAACUAUCAUCGAGGAAGAGUUGGACCCUCAUUUGACCAACACGUUAAUUCAGCAGGCCUCAGCAUUUUGGGAAUCAGCCAUUCUGCCAGCUUUGAUGGACUCAACAUAACCCGGAAGAAUUAAAAAAUUUAUUGUUGUAUGGGAAUAAAAUCAAUAAUGGUUGAAAAUUGAAACUAUAAUGCAUUAAUUUAUUAAAAAUACAUCGGUAUACAUAUCUCAAUGAGUCUAAAUUUUUGUAAUCAACAUGUUAUUAUUUUGCUUUGUAAGUUUACGAAUGCAGCGGCCACCUGUACUAUAUCCUCCAUCAGAUGGAUUAAGUUGUGAUCGACCGUAACAUGUGGUUGCAACAUUUUAAAUUCUCUCAGGCGUCUGAUCACUCUCUCUACGUGGAUUCUUACACUGGCAAUUUCUGUCGUUUUUAAGACUUCCUCUUUGGUAGGUUUCACAUCUGUUUGGACCGAAGAAGGUCGCAGAAGUUUACAGUUUUUUUUUUGGUGUAACUAGGAUUCGAUUUGUUUAAAUCCUCUAUCUGCGAGAAUAGAUGACCCAGAAGGGAGAACCGAUAAAUAUCCAGAAUUUUUGACAAUUUUUAUGUCCCUGGAGUGACCGCCAAAUCCACAGGAGAUGAAAUUAAUCAAUUCAUCAGGAGUUAUGGAUAUCAGAUAUUUACAAAAAUUACACUUCUUAUAGUCUGACCAUGUUGCAGCCUGGUGUACUACAUGAGUUAAAUGUUUUAUUUGAAUUUCGAAACAAUUUUUAUGUCAAAAUUAAACGAAAUGACAUGAUUAUUUAAUGGUUUAACUUGAAAAUUCCCAAAUAAAAAAAAAAAAGGCCCACUGGAUAAGCCCACUGGAUGAAAAA